UUAAAACACUGGUUCCUGUACGAUCAACGAAGUUAAGCAACAUCAAGUUUGGUGAGUAUUUAGAUGGGUGACCGCUUGGGAAUACCAGGUGCUGUAAG